AGAGUUUGAUCCUGGCUCAGGACGAACGCUGGCGGCGUGCCUAAUACAUGCAAGUCGAGCGGACAGGUGGGAGCUUGCUCCCUGAUGUUAGCGGCGGACGGGUGAGUAACACGUGGGUAACCUGCCUGUAAGACUGGGAUAACUCCGGGAAACCGGGGCUAAUACCGGAUGGUUGUUUGAACCGCAUGGUUCAAACAUAAAAGGUGGCUUCGGCUACCACUUACAGAUGGACCCGCGGCGCAUUAGCUAGUUGGUGAGGUAACGGCUCACCAAGGCAACGAUGCGUAGCCGACCUGAGAGGGUGAUCGGCCACACUGGGACUGAGACACGGCCCAGACUCCUACGGGAGGCAGCAGUAGGGAAUCUUCCGCAAUGGACGAAAGUCUGACGGAGCAACGCCGCGUGAGUGAUGAAGGUUUUCGGAUCGUAAAGCUCUGUUGUUAGGGAAGAACAAGUACCGUUCGAACAGGGCGGUACCUUGACGGUACCUAACCAGAAAGCCACGGCUAACUACGUGCCAGCAGCCGCGGUAAUACGUAGGUGGCAAGCGUUUUCCGGAAUUAUUGGGCGUAAAGGGCUCGCAGGCGGUUUCUUAAGUCUGAUGUGAAAGCCCCCGGCUCAACCGGGGAGGGUCAUUGGAAACUGGGGAACUUGAGUGCAGAAGAGGAGAGUGGAAUUCCACGUGUAGCGGUGAAAUGCGUAGAGAUGUGGAGGAACACCAGUGGCGAAGGCGACUCUCUGGUCUGUAACUGACGCUGAGGAGCGAAAGCGUGGGGAGCGAACAGGAUUAGAUACCCUGGUAGUCCACGCCGUAAACGAUGAGUGCUAAGUGUUAGGGGGUUUCCGCCCCUUAGUGCUGCAGCUAACGCAUUAAGCACUCCGCCUGGGGAGUACGGUCGCAAGACUGAAACUCAAAGGAAUUGACGGGGGCCCGCACAAGCGGUGGAGUAUGUGGUUUAAUUCGAAGCAACGCGAAGAACCUUACCAGGUCUUGACAUCCUCUGACAAUCCUAGAGAUAGGACGUCCCCUUCGGGGGCAGAGUGACAGGUGGUGCAUGGUUGUCGUCAGCUCGUGUCGUGAGAUGUUGGGUUAAGUCCCGCAACGAGCGCAACCCUUGAUCUUAGUUGCCAGCAUUCAGUUGGGCACUCUAAGGUGACUGCCGGUGACAAACCGGAGGAAGGUGGGGAUGACGUCAAAUCAUCAUGCCCCUUAUGACCUGGGCUACACACGUGCUACAAUGGACAGAACAAAGGGCAGCGAAACCGCGAGGUUAAGCCAAUCCCACAAAUCUGUUCUCAGUUCGGAUCGCAGUCUGCAACUCGACUGCGUGAAGCUGGAAUCGCUAGUAAUCGCGGAUCAGCAUGCCGCGGUGAAUACGUUCCCGGGCCUUGUACACACCGCCCGUCACACCACGAGAGUUUGUAACACCCGAAGUCGGUGAGGUAACCUUUUAGGAGCCAGCCGCCGAAGGUGGGACAGAUGAUUGGGGUGAAGUCGUAACAGGGUA
rnacentral:rRNA from 1 species